rnacentral:piRNA from 1 species
UAUUACCCACAAAAAAAAAUU